rnacentral:rRNA from 1 species
UACGGGAGGCAGCAGUGGGGAAUAUUGGACAAUGGGGGAAACCCUGAUGCAGCGACGCCGCGUGAAGGAGGAAGUGCUUCGGCAUGUAAACUUCUAUCAGCAGGGAAGAAGAUGACGGUACCUGACUAAGAAGCCCCGGCUAACUACGUGCCAGCAGCCGCGGUAAU